UACGAAGGGGGCUAGCGUUGCUCGGAAUCACUGGGCGUAAAGCGCACGUAGGCGGCUUGUUAAGUCAGGGGUGAAAUCCUGGAGCUCAACUCCAGAACUGCCUUUGAUACUGGCGAGCUUGAGUUCGGGAGAGGUGAGUGGAACUGCGAGUGUAGAGGUGAAAUUCGUAGAUAUUCGCAAGAACACCAGUGGCGAAGGCGGCUCACUGGCCCGAUACUGACGCUGAGGUGCGAAAGCGUGGGGAGCAAAUAGG
rnacentral:rRNA from 1 species